rnacentral:rRNA from 1 species
CGCCUGGGGAGUACGGCCGCAAGGUUAAAACUCAAAUGAAUUGACGGGGACCCGCACAAGCGGUGGAGCAUGUGGUUUAAUUCGACGCAACGCGAAGAACCUUACCUGGCCUUGACAUCCAGAGAACUUUCCAGAGAUGGAUUGGUGCCUUCGGGAACUCUGAGACAGGUGCUGCAUGGCCGUCGUCAGCUCGUGUCGUGAGAUGUUGGGUUAAGUCCCGUAACGAGCGCAACCCCUAUCCCUGGUUGCUAGCAGGUAAUGCUGAGAACUCCAGGGAGACUGCCGGUGACAAACCGAAGGAAGGUGGGGAUGACGUCAGGUCAUCAUGGCCCUUACGGCCAGGGCUACACACGUGCUACAAUGGCGCGUACAGAGGGCUGCCAACUCGCGAGAGUGAGCCAAUCCCUUAAAACGCGUCGUAGUCCGGAUCGGAGUCUGCAACUCGACUCCGUGAAGUCGGAAUCGCUAGUAAUCGCGAAUCAGAAUGUCGCGGUGAAUACGUUCCCGGGCCUUGUACACACCGCCCGUCACACCAUGGGAGUGGAUUGCACCAGAAGUAGUUAGUCUAACCUUCGGGAGGACGAUUACCACGGUGUGGUUCAUGACUGGGGUGAAGUCGUAACAAGGUAACCGUA